AUGGUGGAGAUGCAGCCUUUUGUAGAAAUUAGAGACGGAUUAGGAUUGGAGGACAGGAUCGCUGAACAUGGAGAUGUUGUCCAUCAGCAGCCAGCGCAAGAGGCAAUGGUUGUUGCAAGUGGGGCUGCAGGCAUGGGCACUGUGAAUGAUGAUGCUACUUCUGCAAAUGAUAGUGGGAAUAGACUCAACGGACUGUUGGCACCAAAGAAGCGCAAAGAAAUUGGGCGGCCAUCAACUAGCAGGGAGAAGGCACCGUACGAGGGGCUGAGCAAACGAACCAGGUUCUGCACCAUAUUUCGCGGGCAAGGGUACAAGAGGACAACCUGCCCUGAUCGAGGUGAUGCCCCGAAACCUGUUUGCAAACCGGCUAGGUGCAAAAAUUGUGGAAUUGAAGAUCACAAGCAGAACAACUGCCACAAAGUGGGUGAUUUCUGGUUGACUGGCAUGUGA
rnacentral:rRNA from 1 species